GUGUUCAGUUUCUGUGGGAUGGUUGCUGUGAAUGUGAAAUACAAACAAAGCCACGAACAGGCCAAGGAUGCAUUCUUGCCUCCCACCUAGGCUUGGAGAAGAUGCUCCAGGUGAUGAUUUAAGAAGUGGCAAAAGAGACUGGAAGGUGAUGAAAAGCUGAAGGCGCCAUAGUUUUCAAAGGCAUUUACAGCAAAAUAGAACUGAGGUGAUUUUAUUUAGAGGAAGUUAAGGAAUGUUUUAAUGAAACAUUUCAAAAUUCUUUAAUAUUGAAAACAUCUGCUUGACAUCUACUUUUUCUUUUCACAAAGACAAGCUGAAUUGGCAACUAUGAAGCACCCUCAAUACAGAAGCCACCCACUGCAAAAAUGGCAAGAUGAUGAUGGUGUAAUAAUUAUCGAUGGAAAUCUUUCACAAAGAAGGAAGGUGAUUCGGAAGUGCCUGUGUAACUGGGCUUCAUCUAUCCUGGGCUUUUUCUACAGACUUUUGAGCAGUUCUAGCCACUCUUCCUCAAUCAGACUUAAGGAGGACCACUGCAAUUCCUUGACUCGGGGAACAUCAGAUACUGAGCUAAGUGAGUCCAUUGUUCUAUUAUUGGUGUUAAGGAAAAUAGGUCGAUAUAGAAAUGUUGGCAAUUCUAUUCUCUUUUAUAGGUACUCAUUGUCACUCUUCCAGUCCCACAGACAAAUGCUUCCAUCCUCUUCCUCCUGAAUUCAUUGCAAAUUGUUUUAUUCUAAGCUUGGGUGAAUCUCGGCUAUAAUGGCCAUCUGUUUGGCAUGGAGAUCCUAUUUCCCAGCUAAUGCAAUUUCUGGGCUCUUUGACCUUCUCGAGGGCGACUGUUUUGUAUUAACUAAACAUCUGAGAAAUGCCAUCUCUCUGGUGUCCAGCACAGUGCUUGGCAUACAGCAGUGCUUAACAAUCCAUUUACCAUUUGGGGAGCAGAUGCCUUGCUUAAUUAAUCACUACAGGCUACAGUUGCUCUAACCUCUAUCUGCUUUAAUGCUUCUCAUCUGGCAUGAAUUUUGACCUUUACUCUGGCCAGUCCAUGAUCUGAAUGAACAUACACAACUCAUUUGGAACUGACCGCAAGGACGAUAAGCAGCCGUUUUCGUCUGCCAAGAUAAAGGCGGUGCUGUGGUUUAUGUGGGAGUCUUUCUGGUCUCUCCCAUGCACAUGUUAAAGUCAUGCAUGAUUCUGACACAUGCCAGGCAGAGAGAGAGCAUUGUUCAAUGAGAAAGUGUCAACCAUGAGGCACAUGCUCCGCUCGGGUGUCUGCCAGUGCCAUGUAGGAUGCCCUGCGCAGAGUCCAGAUAGAACAGAGAUUGCAUAUGAUGGCAAAGAUUUCCAAGUGGUCUUCUUUUUCAGAUGACAUCAUGCUAAUUGCACCAAGCCUUGGAACAUGAAGAAGGCUCCUUUGUGAAAUCCAAAGUUAAUCAAAAGAGAUUGGCCUAAGAAUCCACUGGAAAAGUGCAUGAAGUGCAAGUAUUUCCCAGAUUCCAUGGGCAGCCCAUCUAGUUACUCCAUUUACAUCUUUAGAGAUGUGCUUCUGUGCAUAGACAUGCAUGUGCAUGCUGCCUAAAUGGACACCGAAGAACAACAAUAAAUUGCGUUCAUAAUUAUUGGGAAAAGGAGAC
ensembl:lncRNA